rnacentral:rRNA from 1 species
GUUAGUAACGCGUGAGAAUCUAGCUUCAGGUCGGGGACAACCCCUGGAAACGGUGGCUAAUACCGGAUGUGCCGAAAGGUGAAAGAUUUAUUGCCUGAAGAUGAGCUCGCGUCUGAUUAGCUAGUUGGUGUGGUAAGAGCGCACCAAGGCGACGAUCAGUAGCUGGUCUGAGAGGAUGAUCAGCCACACUGGGACUGAGACACGGCCCAGACUCCUACGGGAGGCAGCAGUGGGGAAUNUUCCGCAAUGGGCGAAAGCCUGACGGAGCAAUACCGCGUGAGGGAGGAAGGCUCUUGGGUUGUAAACCUCUUUUCUCAGGGAAUAAAAAAAUGAAGGUACCUGAGGAAUAAGCAUCGGCUAACUCCGUGCCAGCAGCCGCGGUAAUACCGAGGAUGCAAGCGUUAUCCGGAAUGAUUGGGCGUAAAGC